GUGAUUAUAUUCUCUUUGGUUAUUAUGGCCAAAUCUUCACAUUCACAAAGCUAAGCUGUAAUAAAUAAUUAAAAAGCAAAGCGUCGCGGUCGAGAUUUGUUAACAAAGUUCAAGAAUAACCUGCUUAAUUAGUAAAAAAAAUCUUACGUGGAAAUACUAUCGACGAUACACGCGCCCACCACAAGAAAAUUGUUGUCAACAUUUGUACAGAAGUUCCUUUUGAAAAAGACUUAUUACAAACAUAUUUAUUAGAAUGGCUACACCCACUCCUGAUGCCCCUGAAAAUUUCGACCAGUUUGAUGACGAGGAAUCUGAGCAUCAACUUGGUUCAACAGGUUCCGGCCGCAAGAGACUCUUCAGCAAAGAACUGCGUUGCAUGAUGUAUGGGUUCGGAGAUGACCAGAACCCUUACACAGAGAGUGUCGACUUUUUGGAGGAUUUGGUUAUUGAAUUUAUUACAGAAACCACACAUAGAGCAAUGGAGGUAGGAAGAACAGGAAGGGUCCAAGUGGAAGAUAUUAUAUUCUUAGUAAGGAAGGAUCAAAGGAAAUAUGCCAGAGUCAAGGACCUUCUUACUAUGAAUGAAGAACUGAAGAAAGCUAGGAAAGCUUUUGAUGAAGUUAAAUAUGUCGAAGACCAACAAUAAUGAUGAUGGCGAACAACAGACAGCUUCUAAGGCUGAUGCAAAAUGAAGAAUAAAGACGUGAUUAGUUAUGAAAUAUAUUUAUAUAGACUGCGCGGCGUUAAGCUGAAACCGAAGCAAGAAUGUGUAAUAAGGAGAGGAUUGGAUAAGAAUAUGAGUAAUAAUAAAGUAUUUUGUAAAUUCA